GUGGUUACUACAGGAGCACAUAUACUCAAAACAGAAUGAUACAGAGAAGAUUGGCAUGGCUCUGUACAAGGAUAGUAUUAUAUAAGAUAAUUUUUUUCAUUUUUU